AGAUCUAGAAUAGCACUCAGACUGCUCACCGGUCAGCCAUGCUCUCAGUGACCAUCUUCCUCCUUGGAGUGCCCUUCACCCUGAGAGGAAGCGGAGCCCAGUCAGUGGCCCAGCCUGACCGCCACGUCACUGUCUCUGAAGGAGCCCCUGUGCUGCUGAGGUGCAACUAUACCUAUGGUGCAACACCUUAUCUCUUCUGGUACGUCCAGCACCCCGGCCAAGGCCUCCAGCUUCUCCUCAAGUACGUGGCAGGGCCCUCUCAGGUUAAAGGCAUCAAAAGCUUUGAGGCUGAGUUUAAGAAGAGCAAAACCUCUUUCCACCUGGAGAAGGCUUCAGCCCAUUGGAGUGAUGCAGCAGUGUACUUCUGUGCCCUGACCAAAGGUGCACUGACGUUUGGGCAGGGGACAAGACUCUCAGUCAUUCCAAUUAUUAAUAAAACGGAACCUGCCGUGUACCGGCUGAAAGAUCCUAAAUCCAGCGACAUCUCUGUCUGCCUGUUCACCGAUUUUGGUUCUGAUCGCAAUGUGUCAGAACUCAUGGGGCCUGAAAUGUCUAACACUGAGAAAACUGUGCUAGACAUGAAGUCCCUGGAUUCUAAGAGCAACGGUGCUGUGGCCUGGAGCAAUAAAACGAAUUUUGAGUGUUCCGAUGCCUUCCCAGACGAUGAGUUCUACCCCAGCUCAGACUUUCCCUGUAAUGCCACGUUGGUAGAGGAAAGCUUUGAAACAGAUAUGAACCUGAACCUUCAAAACUUGACAGUGAUGGGGCUCCGAAUCUUCCUCCUGAAAGUGGCUGGAUUUAACCUGCUCAUGACACUGCGGCUGUGGUCCAGCUGAGGUGGGCAAGACUGUAUGGUCCUGUGUCCCUUUGCUCCUUCCUGCCCCUCUUCAAGUGGAGGACAGCUCUCCCACCCCAUGGAGAAGAAAGUUCCCAUCAUCUCUCUGACCACCAUGUCAACGCAGAAUUUGUGAAGAUUGCUGAAGAACUGCCAAACACUGCUGCCACCGCCGACCCCAUUCCCUUGUUGCUGCUUGGCACCAUCCACAACAAAGAUGGGCCUGUGAAGAAAUCCUUCCCCCUCCACAGACACUGCCUGUGCUAUCCCACUGGGUGACUGGUCUUCAGUGGGGUCUCUAGUUCCUGCAAAAUGUACUGAAGUUUUUCUUUUUUGAAUAGUGUUCAUAAAGAAAUACAGAUUAUUCUUUUUCGCAAGAUGUGGAAUGAAAUUAUCUCAUUCCAGUGGUGGCAAACCUAUGGCAUGCAUGCCGCAGGUGAGCUGUUUAUUAUCACUGAAAGCGCUAAAGGAUUUGUCAUCACUAGCUAGACCCCCCUGCUAUGCUGUGACCUGAACCACACUGUAUAUUAUUCUGCUGCCCUUGGCUUCAUUAAAAGUGAUCAG